CCCGGUUGCCGUGGUUGCAGGCCGGGACCCGCCCGCUCGUCGGCUGACAGCGCGGCUGGGGCGGAGGGAAGCGGGCCCGUUGGCGGGUCGGGAACGAGG
rnacentral:pre_miRNA from 1 species